AUGAAUAGCUUAUCUCUAAAGCCUUUAAUCAUCAACUUUUUCAUUUCUUCUUGUAGGUCCUACAAACCAUUUGAAAAGUUAGUAAAUAAUAUAAAACAGUUAUAUGUAGUUGAUACGCGAAGCAUUGGUCCUACCACUUGUAGGAAAGACAAGGAGAAAAAGAGGAGCAGGUCCCGAGAGCGGCACAGAAGCAAAUCCAAGGAGCGUCACAGAAGUAGAUCCAGAGAGAAAAUCGGAGUAAAUCUAAAGAUCGUCAUAGGAGUAAAUCAAAAGACCGCCACAGGAGUAAAUCUAAAGAUCGUCACAGGAGCAAAUCAAAAGAUCGACACAGGAGUCGUUCCAAGGACAGGCAUCAUGGCAAAUCCAAGCACCGAAGCCGGUCCAAGUCUCGAGAUCGCGGUCAUAAGAGGCAUCACAGUAGGUCGCGGAGCCGAGAUAAGAGUGAGCGCAGAGAGAGGCGAAAGAGAGCGCUUACGCCACUGGCACUACCAACCCGUAAAGAUCCACCGCCUAGGUAUAAGAAGUCACCGCCUUUUGCUGGAGUAA
rnacentral:lncRNA from 1 species